AUGAAUCUUCUAGCAUGGAACUGUCGAGGAUUGGGGUUGGACUUGACAGUGGCCGAACUCCGUGACCUGAUACGGUCCUACAACCCAGCGGUGGUGUUCUUGUGUGAAACAAAGAAAAAGGCUCAAGUGAUGGAGAGAACAAAGUGGAGCUUAGGCUUCCGAAAUGGUGUGGCGGUUCAUUGUGUAGGGCGGAGUGGAGGUCUAGCUAUUUGGUGGCGUGAUCACAUCCAAGUCACGGUCCGCCCAUGGUGCCAGUACUUUCUUGAUAUGGAGGUAGUCGUUGACGGGGAAACCUGUAGGAUCACUGGAUUCUAUGGCGAACCCAACACUGAACAUAGGAAGAAAUCAUGUGGUAUUUGA
rnacentral:rRNA from 1 species